UGGUUAGCACUCUGGACUCUGAAUC
rnacentral:piRNA from 7 species